AUUCCUGAUGUUAGAACAGGUGAGAAUAUAAUUGAUGCUGUCAUCGUUGAUGAAGAAUCCAUUGGGUUGGACAGACCCGGUUCUGGUGCCAAAAUUCUUUAUGGAAAGGGUGCAUUGGAACGCUAUCUUUCAGGACAAAAGGCAACAAGUCAGGAUUCCGAAAGAGAGCCAGAACCUGAAGGUGAAACAGAUCUUCCUUCAGUUGUUGCCAGCGGCAUGUAACCAAGCAUUUGUGGAAGUUUAUGUAUUAUAGCUGUAAUGUUGUACAUAUUACUAGUCUACAUUUAUUAAUGAUUCAAAAGGGAAAUUAUUGUCAUACAGAUCAACUGUUCCUCUAAAAAAAUAGUGUUCUUCCUGAUACAUUGAAAGCCCG
rnacentral:misc_RNA from 1 species